UACGAAGGGGGGCUAGCGUUGCUCGGAAUCACUGGGCGUAAAGCGCACGUAGGCGGAUUGCUAAGUCAGGGGUGAAAUCCUGGAGCUCAACUCCAGAACUGCCUUUGAUACUGGCGAUCUCGAGUCCGGGAGAGGUGAGUGGAACUGCGAGUGUAGAGGUGAAAUUCGAUAGAUAUUGCAAGAACACCAGUGGCGAAGGCGGCUCACUGGCCCGGUACUGACGCUGAGG
rnacentral:rRNA from 1 species